UUUUAGUUAUUAUCUUUCAUUCGUCUUUUCUUGUUAUUUAUUCUU
rnacentral:sRNA from 1 species